CGCCGAGGUUCAUCCGAUGCCGCACGGCUGCGUGGUAAACUUCAGAUUUGACGGACGGACUUGCCUCUCCUUCAGUGAAGUGCCUGUCCCGUCUGCCCUCAGUCCAACAUGAGAGGAUGAAGAAGAAGAGCUGGCCAGAGGGAAUACUCUACCGUCAUCUCGUAAAUGCAACAAUGGCUGAAGCUAUUGUUGUCUGCGUUCUGCAGGUAUGUAAUUAUGGUCUGAAAAGGUUGGAGCCAGACGUUCCACAGGGCACAGCGUGGGAACAAAGCAGGGUCUGGGAGGCGAGGUCAGGGAGCACAGUGGCUGCACCGUGUCUACAAACUACAGAGAUAGACAUCUUAGGGACAGUCAUCAUCGUCAAAUGAAAGUCUGCCAGCGGAGUCGAUUCAUAGGUCUGACUCACAUCCUCUGACUGUGCCGAGGAUAGUUUAUGUGGCAUUGAAUGAUGUGGAAUGAGCAACUUUGCAAUGUCGCAUGAAUGGAGGUUGUUGUAAUAGCAAUGGCUGAUGAACGAUGCAUUACGUGUAACAGGAUUCCACAAAUCUGAUUACAAUUUGUCGUUGUGAUGCACUACAGUUACUGACCAUAAAAAACAACAAAAAAUGUAUCUGAAUUAUACACAGAGGAAAAUGCACACUGUGUGUAGGUAUUAAAUGAAAAAGUACUGCUUGAUAGAAGGAGGCAUUUUAUAAAAUAAAACAAUUUACAUUUUA